CCCUUUGUGUGCUCUGCCACUGAACCCUGACAGAUGUGUCACAUAAGCCCCAAGCGACAGGGCCAAGGAUCAGGGGAUGGAGCCUCCCACACGGCGAGCUGAUAGAAAUCCUGCCUCUUUAUUCCCGCCUGGUCCCUGUCAAAGACCCUGGCUUGCUGGCCGCAGGAAGUGGAGAGAGAGAGACAGCUUAAAGCUGCUCAGCCAUGAAGGCUGAAGCAGAUGCAGGCCGCAGAGGAUGGAUCCAGGUCCCUAAACAAAAAGCAGUAUUCACAACAGCGGAGUUCUAGGACCAGACACGAAACCCAGCGACCAGUGAAUGGAGAAGGAAGAUGUUUUGCUCAGCCAUCAAGAAUGAAAUGCUGUCAUUUUCAAGAAAAUUGAAAGAACUAGAAUUCGUCGUGUUAAGGAAA